GCACGAAGUUAGCCGGUGCUUAUUCCUCCGGUACCGUCAACCCUCGACACGUCGAGGGGUUUCUUCCCGGUUAAAAGCAGUUUACAACGCGUAGCGCCUUCUUCCUGCACGCGGCAUGGCUGCGUCAGAGUUGCCUCCAUUGCGCAAUAUUCCUCACUGCUGCCUCCCGUAGGAGUCUGGUCCGUGUCUCAGUACCAGUGUGGGAGAUAACCCUCUCAGGCCCCCUAACGAUCGUAGCCUUGGUGAGCCAUUACCUCACCAACUAGCUAAUCGUGCGCAUGCCCAUCUCUUACCGUCUGAGCUUUCAACCCCGAAGGAUGCCCUUCAAGGUAUUAUGGGGUAUUAAUCCGGAUUUCUCCGGGCUAUGCCCCAGUAAGAGGAAGGUAGCAUACGUGUUACGCACCCGUGCGCCGGUCGCCGCCAAUGUAUUGCUACAUCGCGCUGCCCCUCGACUUGCAUGUGUUAAGCCUGCCGCUAGCGUUCAUC
rnacentral:rRNA from 1 species